UGGGGAAUAUUGCGCAAUGGGGGCAACCCUGACGCAGCCACGCCGCGUGGGUGAUGAAGGCCUUCGGGUUGUAAAGCCCUGUCGUGGGGGAAGAAGUUCUGACGGUACCCCACAAGAAAGCACCGGCCAACUCCGUGCCAGCAGCCGCGGUAAUACGGAGGGUGCAAGCGUUGCUCGGAAUCACUGGGCGUAAAGCGCACGCAGGCGGAUCGUUAAGUCGGGUGUGAAAGCCCGGGGCUCAACCCCGGAACUGCACUCGAAACUGGUGGUCUUGAGUACGGGAGAGGGAAGCGGAAUUCCUGGUGUAGAGGUGAAAUUCGUAGAUAUCAGGAGGAACACCAGCGGCGAAGGCGGCUUCCUGGCCCGAUACUGACGCUCAUGUGCGAAAGCGUGGGGAGCAAACAGGAUUAGAUACCCGCGUAGUCC
rnacentral:rRNA from 1 species